rnacentral:lncRNA from 1 species
GUAGUUGGAGCUCGAUGCCCCCCCUAGUUUAGAGUUUAUCUUUGUGGAGUAUAAUAUAUGUAAGAGAAGAUGCACCUAUGGGACGUUAGAACGAUAGUAUAUGUAAAUGCUUGAUAUCUACAUUCGCUGAUGUAACAACUGCAGUGCUUUGAAAGGACACCGGUAUGGGAAUGAUACACUCGUGUUUCCUGAAACCAAUCAAAUUAUCUCAAGUGUAUCACUGUAAUGAAUUUAUCUUCAAAAGCCUACUGCAAACUUUUGUAGCUUUUAACUCUUCAAUCUUAAUGAGAUUAUCUGGACUAAAACAGAGCUUUAUAUCACCAUCUCAUUCGUAUUUUUUUGCAUGAGUGGCGUAGCUUCUGAAUAAAAUUUACACAAAGACAACAGUUUUCGGACGCGUUCAAAUUUAAAUUGUAAUAACUUCGUUCGUUUCCACCGAUCUUUUGCUUUUAUUUUUCUUAAGCAUUUCCAAGGAAUUUUUUUUAUUACCUUAAUAUAAUUUAAUCGAAAUAUUUAAUCCUGUAAUGGCAGGUUGAAGCCUUUUUACGAACAAAGCUAACUACGAAAGACUGUUUACUCGUCAAAGCGAUAUGCAAAUUGUUCUGAUCAUUUGGAGGUUUCGUUUAUCCUUCCAGUCCAAGUAAUCAUUUUAUAAAUGAAAAAAUCUCAUUAUCGAUGUUUAUUCGACCUUUUUUUAACCUUGCAAGCGGUAACGAAUUAAAUGAGCUAAGAUAUUUCGUAAAUGUAAGCUAAUAAUUUAAAUUUUAUUCCUUCUGCGGUCACGUUUCCUUCACGAGUAUACACAUGUCACGCAAGCUUUAUGGAACGAGAACUGCAAAUGACGAGGCAGGCGGCAGUGUGAAGUUACCAUGGUAGAAAAAGUGAUCAUUUGAGACUUUUUCAAAGGCGUUUCAGGUUUUAUUUUGUCAUCCUAUUCAUUGAAAUAUUAUUGACUGAGACAUAAUAUCAGCUUAGCAAGUUACUAAUAGCAGAAGCCCUUGACAAUCAGAUGGUCAGAGAGGUAAAUUGAAAACGUAUAACAGUAUUCAAACUCGAAAGAGAUAACUUUUGAUGUCUCUUUGCAACUUUCAGAGGAUUGUUUCUUCCGCGAGGGCAUGCCCAAUCCUUCACACUUCCGGGAUUUGUCUCGAAACUGAAAUUUUAUCUUUGUUUUUGGAGGGAGGCAGGCUUCUUUCGGAUGUUUAUUCCUUUUUCGAAUUAUUUUUCAGAGUCAAUUGAGGAACACGAACUUCGUGCAAAGACAAUUCUGCGAAAUAACUUUAUUGGCAACUGCACGAGAGUAAAAAUUUCGGAUUAAAAAAUUCGGAUCGCAAAAUAACGCAAAAAUAAGAGAAAACAAACAAACAAACUCGAAAAUUUAAAGUGAAAAAAAGGAAAUCGAUUACCCAGCCUCCCGUCUUAUAACUUUCUUAUGGUCCGUUCCGUGACGGAAAUCGAUACAGCAUGCGCGUGUCAUAGGCAGCCAGUAAUCAUAUGACGAUGCUCUCUACGAACAUCUUAAAACUGGUAAAACUAUUGCAAUUCAUAUUCAAGAAAUACUGAGCUUGUAUAAGGCCAAAAUGGAUAUGCAUAACCUACUCAAAGUCCGUUGCUGUACGCAGUCAUGCAGGCAUUAAAGUCGUUGCGUUACCGUAUGAUGCUGUAUGUUGGGAUGAUGACGGACAGCACAACUCGUGACUCGCGUAAGUCCCAGGUGAAGCGGAAGGCAGGCGAAUUGUUAGUCGCUGAAAAACUAAAACUUUCUGAGUGAGACCGAUUCCUUUCAUUCUUUGCGGGAUGUUCAUGUUUUGAUUUAUCGACUCACCAACUGCAAGAGGAGGAGGGAAACUCCUCGAUCGGAGGACGUCCACUGAGCCUAGACAAGACAAGUAACUCAAUUACAGCGCAGGCUGAGCCGAUUUGAAACAGUUUAACAAUCAAUUCUUACAUAGUUUGUAAUGGAUGGAAAGAAGAUUCUUUGGGGGAUCGUCUGGUUCUUUUUCCUAAUCUUGAUAGCCUGGCCAAUAGGAUUCUUUUGUGCUGGUUGGUACGUGUGCUUGUCCCCAUUUGAGGCGUGCAUCGAUGGAAUGAAGAGCUUGACAGCGUUACUGAUGAAAGGCGUGACUCUACCAUUUGACAUCACGCAUCGCAUAAUUAAAGGCCAAAGUUAUUCGAAGAUUUGAUCAUUUAUUGAAAUGAGAUAACGAUAAAAAAAAAAUGGUAUUUACGUAAUUGGAAGAAUUUUGCGGGAUGGCUACGAGAUAUUGAAUUAAGUAAAGAAGAAAAAUUGUAUUUGUAGCAAAGAACACCUAGUGCUCUAAGCUCUAGACUCACGCUAUUUUUACUCCUGUCACUUGUAACUUUAGUUACCCCUCGCUUGUGCACAUUCUAGUGGCACCAGUGCUAAUAAUUCUCUUUAUCGGAA